rnacentral:rRNA from 1 species
GACGAACGCUGGCGGCGUGCUUAACACAUGCAAGUCGAACGGAAAGGCCCUGCUUUUGUGGGGUGCUCGAGUGGCGAACGGGUGAGUAACACGUGAGUAACCUGCCCUUGACUUUGGGAUAACUUCAGGAAACUGGGGCUAAUACCGGAUAGGAUCUCCUGCUGCAUGGUGGGGGUUGGAAAGUUUCGGCGGUUGGGGAUGGACUCGCGGCUUAUCAGCUUGUUGGUGGGGUAGUUGCUUACCAAGGCUUUGACGGGUAGCCGGCCUGAGAGGGUGACCGGCCACAUUGGGACUGAGAUACGGCCCAGACUGCAACGGGAGGCAGCAGUGGGGAAUAUUGCACAAUGGGCGGAAGCCUGAGGCAGCAACGCCGCGUGCGGGAUGACGGCCUUCGGGUUGUGAACCGCUUUCGCCUGUGACGAAGCGUGAGUGACGGUAAUGGGUAAAGAAGCACCGGCUAACUACGUG